UAGUAUCUACUAUCUGCUGUUUACUGUUUAGUAUCUACUAUCUGCUGUUUACUGUUUAGUACCUACUAUCUGCUGUUUACUGUUCAGUACCUACUAUCUGCUGUAUACUGUUUAUACCUACUAUCUGCUGUUUACUGUUCAGUACCUACUAUCUGCUGUAUACUGUUUAUACCUACUAUCUGCUGUUUACUGUUCAGUACCUACUAUCUGCUGUAUACUGUUUAUAUCUACUAUCUGCUGUUUACUGUUUAGUACCUUCUAUCUGUUGUAUACUGUUUAGUAUCUACUAUCUG